GGUUAAGUGACUAAGCGUACACGGUGGAUGCCUUGGCAGUCAGAGGCGAUGAAGGACGUAGUAACUUGCGAUAAGCGUAGAUGAGGCAGUAACAGCCACUUGAGUCUACGAUUUCCGAAUGGGGAAACCCACUGGCAUAAGCCAGUAUCAUUGAGUGAAUACAUAGCUCAAUGAAGCGAACCGGGAGAACUGAAACAUCUAAGUACCCCGAGGAAAAGAAAUCAACCGAGAUUCCGAAAGUAGCGGCGAGCGAAAUUGGAUUAGCCCUUAAGCUUUACAUGUGUUAGACGAACGGUCUGGAAAGUCCGACGAUACAGGGU
rnacentral:rRNA from 1 species